GUUGCGGGCCGGGCCCCUCUGGCGAUCGUUUCACCGGUCGCGAUGUCGGACCGCAUCG
rfam:Sphingomonas laterariae strain LNB2 genome assembly, contig: Ga0138991_118